AUUGAACGCUGGCGGCAUGCUUUACACAUGCAAGUCGAACGGCAGCGCGGACUUCGGUCUGGCGGCGAGUGGCGAACGGGUGAGUAAUAUAUCGGAACGUACCCAAGAGUGGGGGAUAACGUAGCGAAAGUUACGCUAAUACCGCAUGCGAUCUAAGGAUGAAAGCAGGGGAUCGCAAGACCUUGUGCUCCUGGAGCGGCCGAUAUCUGAUUAGCUAGUUGGUGAGGUAAAGGCUCACCAAGGCAACGAUCAGUAGCUGGUCUGAGAGGACGACCAGCCACACUGGAACUGAGACACGGUCCAGACUCCUACGGGAGGCAGCAGUGGGGAAUUUUGGACAAUGGGGGCAACCCUGAUCCAGCAAUGCCGCGUGAGUGAAGAAGGCCUUCGGGUU
rnacentral:rRNA from 1 species